GUUCGCAACUCUCUCUGCUGCUGUGCUGGCUGUGCGUGGAACCACACGAGGCUUCUCCUCUGCAUCACAGCCGUCCAUCUGUGGCUUCUCUCAUGAUGGUGAGCCGUUGACUGGAUAUUUCGGAGGUCAACAAUUUAUUUGCUUCCGAAAUGAUUAUCUCAUUCUGCGCACAUCGCGAGGAAUUUUAGAUGCUUUGUAAAGGUGGAAGAUUCGUGUGAUCGAGUGUGAAUUUUUAAUAUAUGAAGAUGGAGGAUGCAGAAUCCCCAAUUGUCGAGCAGAUUCCACACCUGCAAGCACGAGAGAGGGAGUAAGGACGAGAUGCGACGACAACGAUAUCAAAGCUUUCUGGCCUUCUCAUCGGAAGAAGACGGUCACAAAGCAAACACUAGGAUCCACAUGAUGCAUCAGAAGGAGAGAAACACCUUGCGCUGAUGAGCCCAAAGGCCCUUGACUUAUGCAUUCAAAGCGCUUGAUAUAUUGCCCCACAUAGCUCAAAGAGAGGAACAGCACCAACCUCGGAGCUAGCCAAAACCACGGCUUGCAACAAGGUGCAGCUGAAGAGGAUAGGGUACCCAGUCCAACUGACGAACCUGCUCAAGAAAGCCAAGGAAUCGUUAGUGUUGUGUGAUGCUGAUAUCGGCGUCGUCAUCUUCUCAAAGCAGGGUCAAAUCUAUGAACUAGCCACAUCCGGGCACUUAAUCUAUUCACAACAUUGAUGACAUGUUUCACAAUCAUUCAAGGACAAUGGAAGGUUUGAUUGGGAGGUACAAGGUGGUGUACUUGAGAAGUUCAUCCAACUGCAGGUGGUGAGACAAACUGACUCUUUGGGUAAUUGAUAGCAUGUUAAAUAUGAUUUAUAGACAAUGAUUCAAUUGUGUCAUAAACAGCAAGGCUCUUUGAAAUACAUAAGCUAUAUGUUCCAUCUUCAUCAAUUAGCAACAUAGAUAGCAGAUAUCUUUUGCUUCUUAUGACUGUCUGUCAUCACAAAGAGAGAACCAUAGAACUGCUUUGAGGUUAUGGCUUCAGUUCUAAUGGUUUGACUUUGUCUUCAUUUCACCAGGAACCUCAAUUACAAGAGAUAUUCAAGUUGAAGCAUGAGAUUCUUCUUCUACACAAGAGUGACAAGGUAAUUACAAAGUCAGAUGCAUCGGUACACAUCAUAUACAGGUACAUUUCUAUGUUGUUAUUUAUAAAUAUACUUGUAUUGCUAUACAAAUCUAGAACACAUCCGAAAAGGCUGUGAUCAUUUGCAAAUAAUUCGUUUUUACUAUUCUCUAAAAGAAAGGAUAUACAAAUUAAUGUCUUGGAAUCAUUAACUACAUUUUCUAUCUUUUUUCAGAACUGUGUUCCUAUCUAAUUUAUUAUACUGACAGUCCAGGUAAUUAUCAUUACCCACAAAUUCAGUUUCUGCAUUGAGAGUAUUCAGUUAGUUUGAUAAGUUCACCAUGCAUUAGCUUGAGUUUUUCUUUUCUUUUCCCUUUGAACUGUCAUACAGAAAUCAUCAAGGUUCAUUUUGCGCAAUUGAAUAGAACAAUAUUUAUCUCGUAUGUGUGUCAAAAUAAGAACUGCAUUAUUAAUAUUCUCUUUUACGAGUACUUUGAGUUGUGCAGAUUGUCAGCCAAGUUCUUGUUUCUUAUAAAAAGGAUUAUUUCUUUUUUUGCUCAAGGACAAUCAAUGUAUUAUUCAUACAGGCACAUAUAAUGCAGUUCAUGGUUAACAGAAGAGUGACAGCUAGAUUUCCAUUUAAUGAAACAGAGUUUGGUCUCCCUGUACUUGUAGUGUUUGAUGAUGAGUCCCUACAGAAUUAUUAUCUUCAUCUGAAUGUUGUAUUUCUUUUCUUCUUUAUGCAUGCUUCCAAUACAUAUUUCUGAUUUUUUUUUUGCCUCUCAAAGAAGCUAUCUGUAAGCAUAUCAAUUAAUCUAAAAAUAUGUACAUAGUCGCCAUGACAUUUUGCAUCUAUAAUUGAAGGAUAUGUUUUAUGACAGAUACAUUGGAGGGGAACUGCUGAAUGUAUGAAACCGGAUGAAAUGCAUAUAUCUUGGAAAGGCAUCUCAACAUGAAUGUGUCAUAUCCAUGAUGCAAAGGUCACUUUGGAAAAGAUUUGAUUUGUCAUAGUUGCAUGUCUUCCCUACUCUUCAUCUCACAACUUGUGGGUGAGUAUUUGGUUGCUCUAGUAUACUGUGUAAAGAAAUGUUACUUCUGUUAGGAUAUAUGAGAUGGUUUAAUUGCUCAUAACCUAUCAGCUUAAAACUUGCCAUUUUUUCUUUUCUGAAUUUUACAUAUUUGUAUUUUCUCUAAAGAAUGUAUAGAGUAGAAACUACAUCAUGUGUACACAGACCAAACCAUGCAAAAUUUGAUGUUAUUAUUAUUAUUAUU